AAGACUAUAGACCUGCGGAGUACCUGCGGAAGGAUCAUUACUGAGUGAGGGCCCUCUGGGUCCAACCUCCCACCCGUGUUUAUUGUACCUUGUUGCUUCGGUAGGCCCGCCGCAAGGCCGCCGGGGGCUUCAGCCCCGGGCCCGCGCCUACCGAAGACAAACUGAACUCUGUCUGAAUGUUGCAGUCUGAGUAAAAACUUAAUAAGUUAAAACUUUCAACAAUGGAUCUCUAGAUCGGAA
rnacentral:misc_RNA from 1 species